rnacentral:lncRNA from 1 species
AAUAAGCCCGUAACUGCAAAGGUGCAAAGUGGUGAUGGAUUUUAAGGGAGACCCAGUAGGGAUAAGCGGAAGGGAUGAGGACUGUACAGGGCCAAUAGCAAAGGCCUCAUGUGGGGGCAGCCCUUCCACUACCCACCCCCACUGCCCCCGCUGCCUCAGGAAGAGCUGUGCACAUUAGACAGGAGGGGAUUCAGGUGGUGGAGAGCCUUCCAGGGAACUCAUGGUUCAUACGCAAAGCCAGGUGGUGGCUCUUCUAGAAGGAACGAUGGGUAUUCCAUUAACUGAUGUGUGUGGAAUGCAGGUGCAAUAGGUAUGGCAGGACACUUCAAAUAUUCAUUUGUGGUUUUCAUCCCUUAUAGAUUCCCAUUUCCCCCAUUUCAAGCCUGAAGUCAGGCCCUUAAUGUUUCCUUGCCUCAAGGACUAGCUACCUUAGGGAAAAUUAGAAGUUGCUGAAGGUCUAGCUUUUUGGAAAUCAAACUUAAAUCCAUUUACAUGAAAAAAGGGGACAGGAGUCUGCUUCUGAGAACACCAUAAAGAAAAGGAUGAAAAGGGUUUCCAGGGCUGCCCGUCAGCUGGAGCUACAGAGAAUGGAAGCCAUCUGCUCCAGAGGUGGGCAUGGAGAUGUUGGUGUCCCUGGUUUAGUGGGUUGAAUAAUGUUCCUGAAAUGUUCAUGCUUACCAGGAUCCUCAGAAUUUGACCUUAUUUGGAAAUAGGGUAUUUGCAAAUGUAAUUGGUUAAACAAGUUGAGAUGAGGUCAUAUAGAAAGGCACGGGACAGUUUCUCUCUGAGUCUCCAGCAGGAACUAACUUUUGCAACACCUUCAUUGCAGCCUCCUGAACUGUGAGAAAAUAAAUUUCUGCUGUUUCUGGCCACACAGUUUGUAGUAGUUGGUUAUGGCUAUCCUAGGAAAUGCAUAUAUCUGGGCCAGCUGGACCUUAUGGCAAGGAAGCUUAGGAACCAUGAUCCUUAUGGAUCUCGCAGCCCAGGACAGUGGGAGGCUCUGCAGAAGCAGUGAGGAUUGCCAGGAGUCAGAGUUUCCUCACACCAGGCCCUGCAUUAGCCCUCUGGACUUCUGUAUAUCUUGGGGGCUUCACCAGCCCAGCAAGAUAGAGAUCUAUGUUGAUUUUAAGAACAUAACAUAUAAGUUAACCAGAGCUUCUGGGCCAAGCUAUGCCUGCUAGUAGAGGGUUUGUAAAGAGGAGUAUUAGAAGGAAACAAGUGAGAAACACACGUUGGGACCACACCGAGGGUCUUAACUGCUAGACUCAGAAAUCUGGACUUACACCCCUAGGCAAUGGGAAGCCACAAAUGUUUUAAAGGGUUAGAGCUUGGAAAUGACUUGAGGGAAGGAGAGGGGCUUCGGGACAAUCAAUCUAACUGUCGUUAUCAAGGGUUUUGUUGCAAGUAACAGAACUAUGACCUAAAGUGGAGUAAGCAAAAGAAUUUUAUUGACUCAUGAAACAGAAAGUCCAGAACAGACUUCAUGCAUUAGUGUGAUUACGACUCUGAACCUAAUGUCUUUAUUUGGCUUUCUUCAUGGGCACAAAGAUGCCUCCCAGAGCAACUGUGUUAAAAAUGCUCUUUUGUUCAUGUCCAGUUAGAAAUAAGCUAUAUUCAGGGCUUACUCUUAGAAACUUUUUUCCUAGAAGACUCAAUAUAUUUAUCUCUUUAUCUUGGUGGUCCAAGUAGGGAUUAAAGCUAUUCAUUCAUGAGCUGAUUUUUGACAAAGAGAUUAGGGUGGGCAGGAUGGACUGAGACUAACCAGAUGGCUUAGCAUAGAUUUCGGGUCUAAGACCAUCAGGAGUGGCUUAAUGACAGAGACACAUUCCAAGAAAAGCGUCAUUAGGCAAUUUAAUGGCUAUGCAAACCUCACAGAGUUCACUGUAAUACAGCCUCAGGCAGGACCUUCAGGAUGUGUUCCAGGGAAAGGCACUGUUACCUUAGGGGAUGGCAACUCCAUGCAGGUUAUUGCCCUUAAAGACCUUCCUGUGUUUCAAGAUAUGCAGUGAAAGACAGUGAUAUUGAUGACUGACGCUGUGUGGGCCCAAGCUGAUGUGAGUGUUUGUGUCUUAAUUUUACCAAAAAAGUUGGAAAAGUAAAUGAAUAAAUAAUUUGUAAAUAGAAAAAACUUGUGAAAUAGGGAUAUAAAGAAAAUAUUUUUAGGCUGGGUGCAGUGGUUCAUGCCUGUAAUCCUAGCACUUUGGGAGGCUGAGGUGGGUGGAUCACCUGAGGUCAAGAGUUCAAGGCCAGCCUGGCCAACAUGGCGAAACCUCGACUUUACUAAAAAUACAAAAAUUAGCCUGGCCUGGUGGUGUGCACCUAUAAUGCCAGCUACUCGGGAGGCUGAGGCAGGAGAAUCGCUUGAACCCGGGGAGCGGAGGUUGCAGUGAGCCAAGAUGAUGCCACUGCCAUCCAGCCUGGGCAAAAGAGUGAAACUCCAAUACCAAAAAAAAAAAAAAAAGAAAAGAAAAUGAAAAUAUUUUUAGUGCAGCUGUUCAAUGUGUUUGUAUUUUAAGCUAAGUUUUAUUACAAAAAAGUCAAAAAAGUUUAAAAAGUGUAUAAAGUAAGAAAAGUAACAACAAGCUAGGGUUAAUUUAUUAUUGAAGAAAAACACAUUUUUAUAAAUUCAGUGUAGCCCAAGUGUAGUGUUCAUAAAGUCUACAAUAGUAUACGGUAAUGUCCUAGGCUUUCACAUUCACUCACCACUCACUCACUGACUCAACCUAGAGCAACUUCCAGUAACGCAUGCUCCACUUAUGGUGCCAUUCCUACAGUCCUUAGCGACAUAAUCCAAGCCUAAACAAGGUUCUUGAUGCUGUUCAGAAUUUCAUCAGAGUCUUCUCAGUGUCUUCCUCCACUGCAGUAUGGGACUGGGCAAAAGUCCUCCCUUCUCAGGUAGUAGAACUUAAAAGCUGCUAUAACUCCUUGAUCCAUUGUGUGGAUCAAAGAGGUGGUGCCUGGAGGAAGAAAUAUCACUUUGAUAUUAGGAAUGAAGAUCACCCGUAAAAAAGAGGACAUGUGGGAGCAUUAUCAACAAUAAGUAAAAUCUUGAAAGGUGGAUCAUUCUCCAAACAGUGCUUUUCCUUUCAGUGGUACAGCAUUGCAGGAGAGCAUCCUGGAAAAGAAGCUGCAUCUGUUAUGACUUCUCACUACUCCUGUAGCCCACUGGCAGUAUGUGCUCAGUGCUGUGCUUGAAGACCCUCGGGUUCUCACUGGGCCAGAUCACGAAGGAUUUCAACUAGUAGCCUGUACCAUUUCCCUCAAGCAAGACUGUUACCCUGUCCAUCAAAGCCUUGAAACCUGACAUUGACUUGGCUUCCUUAUAGAUAAAAGUCAUUCCAGGCAUCCAUUUCCAGAAUAAGGAGAUUUCAUCCAUAUUGAAGAUUUGCUCCGGCAAGUAAAUUUCCUCCACAGUCAGCUUAUCUACAGUUUCCAAAAAUUCUUCAGCUGCCUUCACAUCAGCACUCACAGACUUACCACUCACUUUCAUAUUACAUAAUAAAGAACGAUUCCUGAGUCCUUUAAACCACGCAGAGCUAGCAGUAAAUUCAACAUCCUAGUCAAAUCCAGCCUUUUCUUUCAGCAUCACAAACUUUCUGUUUUGGCUGGGAUCAUCGUGGGGCUGGGUGGAAUACAUGUGUGUGUCAGUCUAGUCUUCAAUCCGGGUCAUAAGAAAUUUCUCUGUAUCUGGUAUAGACCCUUCUUAAAUUGUUGAUAGUCUCAUUGCCUCCAAUGAUGCAGAUAGUUUCAACUUCUGUCACUUUGUUCUUCUUCCCCAAGAUUGUAGCUAUGAUCGAAUGCGACCUACCUGCCUGGGGAGCAAUAACCAUCACCAAUUUUCCACCUCCGUGGUCUUUAAUCACUUUUAAUUUCAUUUCCAGCUCAAUCACUGAUAUGGUUUGGUUGUGUCCCCACCCAAAUCUCAUCUUGACUUGUAGUUCCCAUAAUCCCCAUGUGUCGUGGGAAGGACCAGGUGGAGAUAAUUGAAUCAUGGGGGCAGUUUCCUCCAUCCUAUUCUCAUGAUAGUGAGUU